AGGAGUGAAAGGAGAUCCGGCCAGCAGCCGAGGCAGGGUCAUAGGGGUAUGUUAUUCUAAACCGAAGCACCCAGUGCUCCGGCAGAAAAUAGUCCCUUCGGAAUGUGUAUCUUUCACACUCAAACAAUUGUUAUAUUAGACCAGGUUUAAUGUCUUCGACCGGGAACAAGUGUCUUGACCCAUCGGUUGCGUGAUUUUAUCAGCCACCGUAGCGAUUUUGAAUGUGUUGAAAUCCGCUGGACGAGAGAGGCUGCAUGUAAUCAAGUCCAACAAUAGGCAGCAGAGAAAGAGACGGAGGGGAAGGAGAGAAGAAGGUACAGGAGGGGGAGGGUUGGCAUGUUCUGCUCCCGGGGCGGAAGGAGACGUUGCACUCAGGCAGGAGAAUGAAUCGCAGCGCCACCGAGCCUGGAACCUCCGACGUAGUAGAAUGGAGCUGAGAAGAAUCACAGUUACAUUGUAGCCAGAAACAAACCCCCGACGUAGUAGAAUGGAACUGAGAAGAAUCAUCACAGUUACAUUGUAGCCAGAAACAGAACCCCGAAUAUUGUUCCAAUAUAACAGUUCCGUCUGAGGAAUAGAAACACAGCGAUGCGGACCAGGCGCUGAACAGGAGCGGCCGGGGUGAGAACAAGGCAGAAAGAUGGGCGCCGUGCUACGGACUGUGUUGUUGUGUAGUUUUUCUUUGCUAAUAAGAGGUGUACCCCUCCUGCUCUAUGCCAACCGACGGGACCUGCGGCUGGUGGAUGCGGCCCACGGCAGGGCCAACGCCACGGUGGUGGUGGGCGGUCUGGAGGACGCCGCCGCUGUGGACUACGUAUACGCUCAGGGAUUGGUCUACUGGAGUGACGUCAGCGAGGAGGCCAUCAAACGCACCACCUUCAACCAAUCGGGGCCCGGCUCGGCGGCGGCCGCCCAGACGGUGGUUGUAUCGGGGCUGGCGUCCCCGGACGGCCUGGCCUGUGACUGGUUAGGCAGGAAGCUGUACUGGACGGACUCCGAGACCAAUCGGAUAGAGGUGGCCGAGCUGGAUGGAUCGUUACGGAGAGUUCUCUUCUGGCAGGACCUGGACCAGCCCCGAGCCAUCUCUCUGGACCCGGGGAGAGGGUACAUGUACUGGACGGACUGGGGCGAGGUUCCUAAGAUUGAGCGAGCGGGGAUGGACGGUACCAGCAGAGCCAUGAUCAUUGACAAGGAGAUCUACUGGCCCAACGGUCUCACGCUGGACUACAGCCAGGAGAAACUGUACUGGGCUGACGCCAAGUUCAACUUCAUACAUCGCUCCAAUCUGGACGGCACUGGGAGGGAGGUGGUGGUUAAGGGAGAUCUCCCUCACCCCUUCGCUCUGACGCUGUACGAGGACACUCUCUUCUGGACCGACUGGAACACCCAUUCCAUCCACUCGUGUCAGAAAGAGACCGGGGAGGAUCGGAAGAAAGUCCACUCGGACAUCUUCUCUCCCAUGGAUAUACACGUCUACAGCCAGAAGAGACAGCCGCUACUGUCUUCACCAUGUUCGGUGAACAACGGAGGCUGUUCCCAGCUCUGUCUCCUGUCUCCUAUUACACCUCACUACCAGUGUGCCUGUCCCACCGGAGUCCAGCUGCUAGAGGACAGCAAGACCUGCAGAGACGGUCCCACACAGCUCCUCCUCCUGGCCCGGCGGACUGACCUGCGUCGCAUCUCCCUGGAUACGCCCGACUUCACCGACAUCAUCCUCCCGACGGACGACAUCCGCCACGCCAUCGCCAUCGACUAUGACCCGGUGGACGGACACAUCUAUUGGACGGACGACGACGUCCGGGCCAUCAGGAGGUCCUACCUGGACGGCUCUGACGCUCAGUUCAUCGUCACCUCACAGGUGAACCAUCCUGACGGCAUCGCUGUGGACUGGAUCGCCCGGAACCUGUACUGGACGGACACGGGAACGGACCGCAUCGAGGUGACACGCCUCAACGGAACCAUGAGGAAGAUCCUGAUAUCAGAGGACCUGGACGAGCCACGAGCCAUCGUACUGGAUCCUGUAGCUGGAUACAUGUACUGGACAGACUGGGGCGAGGUUCCUAAGAUUGAGCGUGCCGACCUGGACGGGACGGAGAGACUAGUGAUGGUCAACACCUCCCUGGGCUGGCCCAAUGGUCUGGCGCUGGACUACACAGACCGGAUGAUCUACUGGGGCGACGCCAAGACGGACAAGAUAGAGGUGAUGUGUAUGGACGGUUCAGGCAGGAGGAUCCUGGUAGAAGAUAAGCUACCUCACAUCUUUGGCUUCACUCUGCUGGGGGACUAUGUGUACUGGACAGACUGGCAGAGGCGGAGUAUCGAGAGGGUUCACAAACACACCACGGAGAGAGAGUUCAUCAUAGACCAGCUACCAGACCUGAUGGGGCUCAAAGCUACAUAUGUACACCAGACCUUCGGUACCAACCUGUGUGCGGAGACGAAUGGUGGGUGUAGCCACCUAUGCCUGUAUAAGCCGGUGGGCGUCCAGUGUGCCUGUCCCAUUGGUCUAGAGCUGAUAGCUGACCAGUCCACCUGCAUCGUACCAGAAGCCUUCCUCCUCUUCUCCCGACACACAGACAUCAGACGCAUCUCCUUGGAAACCAACAACAACAACGUGGCCAUCCCGCUGACCGGGGUUAAAGAGGCGUCUGCACUUGACUUUGACAUCACCGACAACCGUAUCUACUGGACAGAUAUCACACUGAAGACAAUCAGUCGUGCGUUUAUGAACGGCAGUGCUCUGGAACACGUGGUGGAGUUUGGCCUGGACUACCCAGAAGGCAUGGCGGUGGACUGGUUGGGGAAGAAUCUGUACUGGGCCGACACGGGGACCAAUCGUAUUGAGGUGGCCAAGCUGGAUGGACAGCACAGACAGGUCCUAGUCUGGAAGGAUCUGGACAGCCCUCGAGCCCUGGCACUGGACCCUGCUGAGGGGUUUAUGUACUGGACAGAGUGGGGUGGGAAGCCCAAGAUUGACCGCUCAGCGAUGGACGGGACGGGUCGGAUCACUCUGGUGCCCAAUGUGGGCCGAGCCAACGGGCUGACCAUCGACUAUGCCGAGAGGCGCCUGUACUGGACUGACCUGGACACGACACUCAUAGAGUCCUCCAACAUGCUGGGUCUGGAGCGUGAGGUUAUAGCCGACGACCUCCCCCACCCCUUUGGUCUGACCCAGUACCAGGACUACAUCUAUUGGACGGACUGGUCUCAGCGCAGCAUCGAACGGGCCAAUAAGACAUCGGGCCAGAACCGUACGGUCAUCCAGGGUCACCUAGACUACGUGAUGGACAUCUUGGUCUUCCACUCGUCACGCCAGGGGGGCUGGAACGCCUGCGCCUCCACCAAUGGGCAAUGCUCACACCUCUGUCUGGCUGUACCAAUCAGCAGCUUCGUCUGUGGAUGUCCCGCCCACUUCUCCCUCAACAAUGACAACAAGACCUGCAGUGCCCCUACGUCGUUCCUCUUAUGUUCCUCUUGUUCAGUGACAGCCAUUAACCGGAUGGUGAUGGAUGAGCAUCAGUCUCCUGACAUCAUCCUUCCCCUUCACAGUCUGAGGAAUGUCAGGGCUGAGUUGACUGACGACCUGUUCCUCCUAUAAGACAACUGUACUGGAUCGACUCCAAACAGAACUAUCCUCAGAGCGAGUUGACUGACGGCCUAGUGAUGACGGUGGUGUGGAGCCAAGUGGGCGGUCCUAACCUGGGCCUCCAGCCGUUUGACCUGAGCAUCGACAUCUACAGCCGCUUCAUCUACUGGACCAGCGAGGUCACUAAUGUCAUUAACGUGACGAGGACAGACGGCAGCCGGGUGGGAGUGGUGCUGAGAGGAGAACACGACAGACCCAGAGCCAUCGUGGUCAACCCAGAGCGAGGGUACAUGUACUUUACCAACCUGCAGGAGCGCAGUCCUAAGAUAGAACGAGCCAAUCACUGAUCUGCCUGGCGGGACAGAGAGAGGGACCCUGUUGUUCUUCAGUGGCCUGGGGAAGCCCUGUUGCCCUGGCCCCCCUGUAGACAAUGAGGUUGGCAAGCUGUUCUGGGUCGACUCAGAAUCACUGAUCUGCCUGGCAGGAGCCAAUCGGAUUGUGAUUGAGGACUCCAACAUCCUCCAGCCGGUUGGUCUGACGGUGUUUGGUAACCACCUGUACUGGAUCGACCGUCAGCAACAGAUGAUCGAGCGCAUCGACAAGACGACCAGGGAGGGAAGGACCAAGAUCCAGGCUCGCAUUGCCUCUCUCAGCGACAUUCACGCUGUCUACGACCUCGACAUGAGCGAGUACAUGCGCUGCUCUCCGGACCACUUCAGCUGUUCCAGCGGUCAGUGUGUGGGGAAACAUCAGAAGUGUGACCACUCUACAGACUGCUCUGACAACUCAGACGAGAUGGGCUGCUACCCGACUGAAGAGCCGUCCUCCCAGCCCACCAACACCAUCGGCUCCAUUGUGGGGGUUGUCAUGGCGCUGUUUGUGGUGGGUGCCAUCUACUUGGUGUGCCAGCGCGUGCUCUGUCCCCAGAUGAAGGAUGACAGGGAGACUGUAACCAAUGACUUGGUGGUUCACGGCCCUUCUGUUUCUCUGGGUUAUGUACCUCACCCUGCCUCUCUGUCCGGAUCUCUGCCAGGUAUGUCCAGGGGGAAGUCUGUGAUUGGUUCGUUGAGCAUCAUGGUCUUGCUUUGGUCCAGUGGCCCCUUUGUCUUGUUGACUCCCCACGUUGUCUGGAGCCUCCUCCUCAAGCUCUUUCCACCAAGGGCACUUACUUCCCCCGGUGUCUUAUCCUGAACCCUCCUCCAUCUCCUGCGACCGUCAGGUCUCAGUACACCAUGGAGUUUGGCUACUCCUCCAACAGCCCGUCAACGCACCGUUCAUACAGUUACCGUCCCUACACCUACAGUCACUUCGCCCCUCCUACAACCCCCUGCUCCACGGACGUCUGCGACAGCGACUACACCCCCGGACGCCGCGCCCCGCCCACCUCCAACUCCGGCGUCGUCAAAGGUUACACCAGCGACCUGAACUACGACUCGGAACCCUUUCCCCCACCCCCCACCCCCCGCAGCCAGUACCUGUCAGCGGAGGAGAACUGUGAGAGCUGCCCCCCCUCCCCCUAUACGGAGCGCUCCUACUCUCACCACCUCUACCCCCGCCCCCGUCACCCUGCACAGACUCCUCCUGAAACCCCUCGCUGUACAUAACAAUUGUUGAUAUUGUGUUUCUAAAAGAGGGGGAGGAGAGGAGGCUGCUGAGGGAUGUACAGAACAUAUGAACAGAGAAACAGGAAGCUCGGGGUGGAAGAAAGAGCUCCGGGAACAUUUGUACAUUUUAAAAAUAGAAAAAAGCAUAUCUAUAUAUUUUCUAUACAGCGUUUACUGGAUACGCCGUAGAGGUUUUGUAUUCAAACAUUUGUACAUUU